UACGUAGGGUGCGAGCGUUGUCCGGAAUUAUUGGGCGUAAAGAGCUUGUAGGCGGUUUGUCGCGUCUGCUGUGAAAAUCCGGGGCUCAACCCCGGACUUGCAGUGGGUACGGGCAGACUAGAGUGUGGUAGGGGAGACUGGAAUUCCUGGUGUAGCGGUGAAAUGCGCAGAUAUCAGGAGGAACACCGGUGGCGAAGGCGGAUCUCUGGGCCAUUACUGACGCUGAGGAGCGAAAGCGUGGGGAGCGAACCGG
rnacentral:rRNA from 1 species